GGUCUAUUCGAGCCUCGGUGAAGCUCCUGCCGCUGUGCAGCCGGAUGUAGACCACCCCCCAGCGCAGGACUGUGAUGUCUCACAGGGAUGACUCACUCCUGUAGGGCAGUGACGCCGUGGUGCUGAAGAAGACUCUGGUUUGUCCGAGUCGCAGCAGAGCCUCCGUCCAGCGGCUGAAGUCGUAACCUGCAGGUGAUCACAGGGGGACCGGGGGGGAUUGCUCCACCUACCGAGGACGGGGCAGGACGCCGGUUUGAAGGCCUCGCACUGCAGACACCUCCCGUCCAGGAAGUCGCUGUAGGACGAGCAGGGGUACCCGGUGAGGCUGCAGGUUCGGUUCAGAGCGCACAGAUGGUUUUGGGGCAUCCUGGUUGGUCGGCUCCACCGUUGGCGUAGAAAUCGAUGUGACCGUGAGCUCCUCUCAGACCGAAGGCUGAACAUGGAAACAUGUUUAUCAAGUUUAUUUAAUUUAAUUUAAUCUUUCACAGAGAAAAAUGACCAAAGCCCAAAGGUUAUAAAUUCAACCAUAAAAGAAUCUGAUAAUAAAUCAUUAACAUUUAGCAGGUGGAACAUCAACCAGACUAAAAAAGGUAAAGAUGUUUCUGUCGUUUCAGGUCUUUCUUCUCUCAAGUGUUUCUGAUCCGUUUGGUUUGAAUCAGUUAUUUGAUGAUGAACAGGCUGAGACGUGAUGAUUGACAGCUGACACUCAGGUGAUAUUUAAAGUCACGUCUCAUCCAGACCCCUCAUUGUGAUCGUCUAUCUUGAGUUCAGUUUGAUUUCUAGAGGCUCACAGUUCAUGUCGGUGUGAAGAACGUCCACGAACAUGGCGUCGGAGGGAUCCAGCCUCUGCUCCAGGGCGGCGCUGGUGAACAUCGGCCCGGCCGGGUCCAGACCUGGAGAGAGAGAAUACAGAGUCGACUGAGACAGUGUAAAACGUUUGAUACCAAAUCCGUCUCUGACACUAACGAGAGAGAAAAUAACUGUUUCUUGGUACGAGUGGUGUUUUCAGUUCUGUAUCUAUGUUUGCAAGAAACAGGAACAUUAAAAGUUGACAUGUUUAAAAAUGAUUUAUAAAUAAAAGGACCGGUUAAAGACUUUUCUGAACCUUUCCCUACACCUACAGUCGGGUCCUGUGUUCACCUGUGAUGCGUCCGAUCCUUCCCUCCAGGUUCGCUCCCACGAAUCCGGCCAGGUGAGCUCCCAGGCUGACGCCGAUGAGGUGGACUGAACUCAGAGAGGCUCCUUCCUCCUGCAGACACACAAACACCAGACUGUCGUUUACCGCUCAGACACAGCUACAGACGGUGACUGUCUGUGGUCUGGGGACUCGUCCUCUCACCUCCAUGGUCAUGAUGAACCCGGUCAGGUUGUGUGCCGCCUCCCUCGUGUAGGCCACGGCGGUGAAGUAGUUGAGGUUCGCCGCCCCCUUGUUCCAGUCCACCACGAUCACGUUCAUGUCCUGCUGCUCGGCCAGCAGGCGGACCAGGUGGUCGAUCCAGAUGGGGGGGGCUCCGGUGGGCCGGUAGCCGUGGAUGACGAAGGCCGUGGGACGGGAGAGGUUGAAGAGCGGCUGGGAGGCCAGGUGCUGGUGGUUGAUCUCACGGCCACAGUCCAGGUUGGCUCGGGUGUAGAGCAGCAGCCGCACGUACAGACUGGUUCCCAUGAAGCAGUGGGACAGGUUGAGGUCUGUGAAGCUGUCGCAGGGCUCGCCCCCCCCACUCUGCUCCUGACCUGAGGGCACAGAACGGGCGACAGCUGAGGCUCAUGGGAAAAUAAUCAUUUGUGUGUUUGAUCGUGAAACAAAGCAAAGGACGAGAACAGCAGCAACAUUCACUGAGGUCAUGAACCUGCAGGUCGGAGAGGUCAAAGGUCAGAGGGGUGUGACAGUAAAUGCUGAGAUCACUUCUUUGUCUGGUUUGACCUCUUCAGCUCGGACAGGCGAGGAUUAAACAGGAAGUCGGGAUAAGGAGAGUCUGAAGUGCUGCAGAGGGAAACACUCCACUCGGUGCUGAGUGGCUGACAUGAAGCCUUUUGUUCAGCGCCAUCUUUUCUUUUUUUUAAACACGCGCGGUGCUUUAUGAACUGUUUGACUCUACGUGGAUCAUAAUGUAUAAAGUGAACAUCAGCUGUGUUGAAGAAGACUUGAAACUAGAGAUUGAGAAAUAAACUCCUGAGGAAAAUCUUCACUGACGUUAUAGACUCUGCAUAUCUCAUAAUAUUUUGUGUCCCCUCUGGUGACGCCUCGUUCUC